UUUCCGUAGGUGAACCUGCGGAAGGAUCAUUGUCGAUACCUGCAAAAGUAGACCGCGACCACGUUCAACACGCCGGGACCGCGGCGAGGGGGCAACCCCGAGCCGCGUCCCAUCCCCGCACGCGCGCACCCUGCGGGCUAACGAACCCCGGCGCGGCAUGCGCCAAGGAAAACUCAAGGAAGCGUCCGCCCCGCGUCGCCCCGUUCGCGGUGAGCGGCGGGGGACGUCUCUCAAUGUCAAUACGACUCUCGGCAACGGAUAUCUCGGCUCUCGCAUCGAUGAAGAACGUAGCGAAAUGCGAUACUUGGUGUGAAUUGCAGAAUCCCGUGAACCAUCGAGUCUUUGAACGCAAGUUGCGCCCGAAGCCUCCGGCUGAGGGCACGUCUGCCUGGGCGUCACGCAUCCCGUCGCCCCCCCGCACUUCCCCGGAGAUUGGCCUCCCGUGCGCGUCGACGCGCGGCCGGCCCAAAUGCGAUCCCGCGGCGACUCACGUCACGGCCAGUGGUGGUUGAACUCUCAACUCGCGUGCUGUCGUGACGGGCCGCCGCGUGGGGUGCCGUCGUAGACCCAACGGCGCGAGCUUCUCGCGCCUUCGACCGCGACCCCAGGUCAGGCGGGAUCACCCGCUGAGUUUAA
rnacentral:rRNA from 1 species